rnacentral:rRNA from 1 species
UCAUAUACCCCAAUGUAUGUUAUAGAAUGUAAUUAAUGGGCCUUUGUGCCUAUAAACCUAUACAACUUUCAGCAACGGAUCUCUUGGCUCUCGCAUCGAUGAAGAACGCAGCGAAAUGCGAUAAGUAAUGUGAAUUGCAGAAUUCAGUGAAUCAUCGAAUCUUUGAACGCACCUGGCGCUCCUUGGUAUUCCGAGGAGCAUGCCUGUUUGAGUGUCAUUAAUAUAUCAACCUCUUUUAGCUUUUGCUAGUUGAGUGUUGGAUGUGGGGGAUUUUUUUGCUGGCCUCUUUUCAAAUGAAGUCAGCUCCCCUAAAAUGCAUUAGCGGAACAUUUGCUGACCGUCUCAUUGGUGUGAUAACUAUCUACGCUAUUGACGUGAGGCAGUUCAGCUUCUAACAGUCCAUUGACUUGGACAAUUUCAUUAAU